rnacentral:rRNA from 1 species
AGAGUUUGAUCCUGGCUCAGGAUGAACGCUGGCGGCGUGUUUAACACAUGCAAGUCGAGCGAGAAGCUCUCGAGUUGAUUCUUCGGAUGAAACAUGAGAGUGGAAAGCGGCGGACGGGUGAGUAACGCGUAGGCAACCUGCCCCUUGCAGAGGGAUAGCCUCGGGAAACCGGGAUUAAAACCUCAUAAUGCGGCACUGUGACAUCGCAGAGCCGCCAAAGAUUUAUCGGCAAGGGAUGGGCCUGCGUCUGAUUAGCUAGUUGGUGGGGUAACGGCCUACCAAGGCAACGAUCAGUAGCCGACCUGAGAGGGUGAUCGGCCACAUUGGAACUGAGACACGGUCCAAACUCCUACGGGAGGCAGCAGUGGAGAAUCUUGCACAAUGGGGGAAACCCUGAUGCAGCAACGCCGCGUGAGCGAUGAAGGCCUUUGGGUCGUAAAGCUCUGUCCUUGGGGAAGAAGAUCUGACGGUACCCUUGGAGGAAGCCCCGGCUAACUACGUGCCAGCAGCCGCGGUAAUACGUAGGGGGCGAGCGUUAUCCGGAAUUACUGGGCGUAAAGAGUACGUAGGCGGUCCUGUAAGCGCAUGGUGAAAGGCAUAGGCUUAACCAAUGUGAGCCGUGCGAACUGCAGGACUUGAGUGCAGGAGAGGAAAGCGGAAUUCCUGGUGUAGCGGUGAAAUGCGUAGAUAUCAGGAGGAACACCGGUGGCGAAGGCGGCUUUCUGGACUGUAACUGACGCUGAGGUACGAAAGCGUGGGGAGCAAACAGGAUUAGAUACCCUGGUAGUCCACGCCGUAAACGAUGAGUAUUAGGUGUUGGGGAUAAAACCUCGGUGCCGCAGUUAACGCAAUAAAUACUCCGCCUGGGGAGUACGCACGCAAGUGUGAAACUCAAAGGAAUUGACGGGGACCCGCACAAGCAGCGGAGCAUGUGGUUUAAUUCGAAGCAACGCGAAGAACCUUACCAGGGCUUGACAUCCUCCUGACAAUACCGGUAAUGCGGUACUUCUUCGGACAGUAGAGACAGGUGGUGCAUGGUUGUCGUCAGCUCGUGUCGUGAGAUGUUGGGUUAAGUCCCGCAACGAGCGCAACCCUUGUCAUUAGUUGCCAUCAGGUGAUGCUGGGCACUCCAGGGACACUGCCAUCGCAAGAUGUGAGGAAGGUGGGGAUGACGUCAAAUCAGCACGGCCCUUACGUCCGGGGCUACACACGUGUUACAAUGGGCGGUACAGAGGGCAGCCACCUGGCGACAGGGCGCUAAUCCUUAAAACCGUUCUCAGUUCGGAUCGGAGUCUGCAACCCGACUCCGUGAAGCUGGAUUCGCUAGUAAUCGCGCAUCAGCCAUGGCGCGGUGAAUACGUUCCCGGGCCUUGUACACACCGCCCGUCA